ACGCGAAGAACCUUACCUACCCUUGACAUGCCAGGAACUUGCCAGAGAUGGCUUGGUGCCCGAAAGGGAGCCUGGACACAGGUGCUGCAUGGCUGUCGUCAGCUCGUGUCGUGAGAUGUUGGGUUAAGUCCCGCAACGAGCGCAACCCUUGUCAUUAGUUGCCAUCAUUAAGUUGGGCACUCUAAAGAGACUGCCGGUGAUAAACCGGAGGAAGGUGGGGACGACGUCAAGUCCUCAUGGCCUUUAUGCCCAGGGCUACACACGUGCUACAAUGGAUCGGACAAAGGGUCGCGAACCCGCGAGGGGGAGCCAAUCCCAAAAAUCGGUCCUCAGUUCGGAUUGGAGUCUGCAACUCGACUCCAUGAAGUUGGAAUCGCUAGUAAUCGUGGAUCAGCAUGCCACGGUGAAUACGUUCCCGGGCCUUGUACACACCGCCCGUCACACCACGAAAGCCGGAUGUACCAGAAGUCGCUGGCCCAACCCUUCGGGGAGGGAGGCGCCUAAGGUAAUGGUCGGUGAUUGGGGUGAAGUCGUAACAAGGUAGCCGUAGGGGAACCUGCGGCUGGAUCACCUCCUU
rnacentral:rRNA from 1 species